GCGGGUCAAGCAGGCCGCUGUCACAUUCACUCAGGAUGUCUCUCUCUGGAGGUGCUUCUGGCUGCAGAAUUGUUUUCAAAACAGAAGAACGUUCUGAAUUCCGCCUUCCCCCACUCCCCUCUGUCAAUCUAUUGAUUAUGUGUGGAAUGAACUAGAGAACUCAACUAGGAGAUGAAGAAAAACCCUCAGAAACCUCAAGGCCAAGAGGACGUGGUGGAGGCCAACUUGGGGGUUGCAGGACAUCACCCACCUACCCACGAGAUGAUCCAUUAAUAGCUCGGUGGUUCUCACACCUGAGCAGGCAUUGGCGCUACCUGAAGCUGAGAUGAAACCCAAAUGGCUGAGUGCCGCACCUACAGUGUCUGAUUCAAAAAAUCUCUCUGGCUGCUGCCAGGAGGCUGCAGUGUAGGAGACUGAGCAUGGAAGCCCCAGCCCAGCCCUGCCCAGUUAGGAAGCAACUAUUGUAUUCAGCAAACCCUGCUGGCUCUAACGAGAAGUAUCAUCCUGAGUGCAUCACCAUCACUUCUCACCUCCAUGGCCUCUCAUUAUGCACUCUCUGCCUCUACUCUUGCCUUCCUGGAGCCGUUCUCCAGCCGUUAGCCAAAUGGGUCCUUUCAAAGUGCUGCUUAUGGAUUAGUGCUUUGGGCAGCUGCACAGAUAACCCACCUUUUGAUCUGGGUCCGCUUGGCACAAGAUACAAUAAAUGUCACGAUAAAUGUCAGCCAGGAUUACAAUGCUUCCUUCACAAACCUUAGCACAGACGGUUUCAAUAAAGAUUGCUUGAUUAACUUUUUUCUUCUAAUUCAAUGCCAUUUUAAUCAUGUGCCUACUUUUUGCUUAA